rnacentral:rRNA from 1 species
UAGGGANUCUUCCGCAAUGGGCGAAAGCCUGACGGAGCAACGCCGCGUGAGUGAAGAAGGAUUUCGGUUCGUAAAGCUCUGUUGUUAGGGAAGAAUGAUUGUGUAGUAACUAUACACAGUAGAGACGGUACCUAACCAGAAAGCCACGGCUAACUACGUGCCAGCAGCCGCGGUAAUACGUAGGUGGCAAGCGUUGUCCGGAAUUAUUGGGCGUAAAGCGCGCGCAGGUGGUUUAAUAAGUCUGAUGUGAAAGCCCACGGCUCAACCGUGGAGGGUCAUUGGAAACUGUUAAACUUGAGUGCAGGAGAGAAAAGUGGAAUUCCUAGUGUAGCGGUGAAAUGCGUAGAGAUUAGGAGGAACACCAGUGGCGAAGGCGGCUUUUUGGCCUGUAACUGACACUGAGGCGCGAAAGCGUGGGGAGCAAACAGGAUUAGAUACCCUGGUAGUCCACGCCGUANACGAUGAGUGCUAGGUGUUGGAUCCUUUCCGGGAUUCAGUGCCGCAGCUAACGCAUUAAGCACUCCGCCUGGGGAGUACGACCGCAAGGUUG